rnacentral:lncRNA from 1 species
CUCAACUGCAGUUUCUGACUCAAGAGGUGUGGAGCAAGUCUAAGAUUCCAGAUUUCUAACAAACUCCCAGGCAAUGCCAAUGCUGGUGGCCCAGGAAGCUCUCAAGCCCACUUUGGGUUUUUUUUGUUUUGUUUUGUUUUGUUUUGUUUUGUUUUGAGACAAGAGUCUUACUCUGUCACCCAGGCUGGAGUGCAGUGGCAUGAUUUCACCUCACUGCAAUCUCCACUUCUCCGGUUCAAGAAUUCUCCUGCCUCAGCCUCCCAAGUAGCUGGGAUUACAGAUGUGUGCCACCAUGCCCAGUUAUUGUUCUGAUAGAAUAUCAGCGGGGAGCUACUGAGGACCUCCUCACUACCCUCCCUUGGAAGAGUUUGUCUGCAAUGGAGCCAACACAGUGGAAAGCAGAGCUGAGAAAUGGACAAACAACUCCUGAUGCCUCAUUUGAGCACCUGGAUUUAGCCAUGUCUGAAGCUAUUAUAUCCUUGAACUUUUGAAUCAUGCACUGUUUUAAGUCCCAAAGAAAGAGGCAGAGGAGCGACAGAGAUGACUUCCUCCCUUGAAAACGAAGCAUGUGGCCUGACAACCUAAAAUUGGGGUCAAUCCAUCCAAUUAUGGUGACUGCUUAGAAAUAUCCCUUUUCCUCCCAACGUUUUCCUUUCCUUCUCCCAUAAACAUAAUAAUGUCUCCUGCCAGUACUAAGGCAUGGCCCAUGGACCCACUAACACCUAUGCUCACGUUAGCUCUUGAGGCCGAGUGGCUUGGUUCUAUCUGGUUAUCAGAUGCAAACUUCAUCACAGCAGGGAUUUGGGCUAGACAUUAGAGGAAUAGUGUGGUACCAGAUGGUGUUUCUGAAGAAGGUUGUCCUAUUUUUGCAGUUUAAGGAUUUGAUAAUAAAUCUGCCUGGCAGCCCUCAGAUGUGAUUUGGCCUUGAAAUCGUCUCUGUUAAUCCUUGAUGCUGUGUGUAUCUGUCAAGGUCCAACCAGAAAAAACAGAACCUGCUCUAAGUAUCUGAACAAAGGGAAAUUUAAUGUAAGGAGCUGAUUGCACAGAUGAAGGAAGGGGCUGGGAGGCAAACAAGAGGGAACUGUGAGGUAACCCAGGGAUUUGCCACAGUAGGAAGACAUGACCACUACUAGGAUAGAGAGGUAAAAAAUAAAAAAAUAAAAAAAGAGAUGGUGUUACUUGUAUUCAGGAGGUGGAGUCAUCCAGAGGAGGCUGAAGCCAUGGCAGGUCUGUGUGGCAGAAGCUGCUGCCAGGGAAGACAUACCAUGGCUCCAAGAAAAGCUGCCAGAGACAGAAAGUGUGGGGGAGAAAGAUUCUUCCUUUUCCCUGCCUCCCACCUCUCAAACUCACCGCAGAGCUUCCCCUUGGCC